AUUGAACGCUGGCGGCAUGCCUUACACAUGCAAGUCGAACGGUAACGGGCCUUCGGGUGCCGACGAGUGGCGAACGGGUGAGUAAUGCAUCGGAACGUACCUUUCAGUGGGGGAUAACGUAGCGAAAAGUUACGCUAAUACCGCAUAUUCUGUGAGCAGGAAAGCAGGGGAUCGCAAGACCUUGCGCUGAUUGAGCGGCCGAUGUCAGAUUAGCUAGUUGGUGAGGUAAAGGCUCACCAAGGCGACGAUCUGUAGCGGGUCUGAGAGGAUGAUCCGCCACACUGGAACUGAGACACGGUCCAGACUCCUACGGGAGGCAGCAGUGGGGAAUUUUGGACAAUGGGGGCAACCCUGAUCCAGCCAUGCCGCGUGAGUGAAGAAGGCCUUCGGGUUGUAAAGCUCUUUCGGCCGGGAAGAAAUCGCAUGGGUUAAUACCCUGUGCGGAUGACGGUACCGGCAUAAGAAGCACCGGCUAACUACGUG
rnacentral:rRNA from 1 species